rnacentral:rRNA from 1 species
GACGAACGCUGGCGGCGUGCCUAAUACAUGCAAGUUGAGCGCUGAAGGUUGGUACUUGUACCAACUGGGUGAGCAGCGAACGGGUGAGUAACGCGUGGGGAAUCUGCCUUUGAGCGGGGGACAACAUUUGGAAACGAAUGCUAAUACCGCAUAAAAACUUUAAACACAAGUUUUAAGUUUGAAAGAUGCAAUUGCAUCACUCAAAGAUGAUCCCGCGUUGUAUUAGCUAGUUGGUGAGGUAAAGGCUCACCAAGGCGAUGAUACAUAGCCGACCUGAGAGGGGGAGCGGCCACAUUGGGACUGAGACACGGCCCAAACUCCUACGGGAGACAGCAGUAGGGAAUCUUCGGCGAUGGACGAAAGUCUGACCGAGCAACGCCGCGUGAGUGAAGAAGGUUGUCGGAUCGUAAAACUCUGUUGGUAGAGAAGAACGUUGGUGAGAGUGGAAAGCUCAUCAAGUGACGGUAACUACCCAGAAAGGGACGGCUAACUACGUG